UGAAAUUGAUUGAUUCAUUUGGAUUCAUAGCCUUAGAUGUAGACUCCCUGAGAAUGGUGAUGGAUGUGUACGAUGAUACUUUACCCUAUUGGAAGGAUUCAUGAGUUAUACUUCCCAGGAGGAACGAGAAUCAGUUAUUCCUACGGUUAAACAUGUAACUCGGAUGGUAUGUUAGUAAGAGCAUGAGCUAAGAUUAUGGAAGA
rnacentral:lncRNA from 1 species